rnacentral:tRNA from 1 species
GGGCCCUUAGCUCAGCGGAUUAAGAGCAUCUGACUACGGAUCAGAAGGUCGCAGGUUCGAAUCCUGCAGGGCCCA